rnacentral:rRNA from 1 species
UGGGGAAUUUUGGACAAUGGGCGAAAGCCUGAUCCAGCAAUGCCGCGUGUGUGAAGAAGGCCUUCGGGUUGUAAAGCACUUUUGUCCGGAAAGAAAUCCUCUGGGUUAAUACCUCGGGGGGAUGACGGUACCGGAAGAAUAAGCACCGGCUAACUACGUGCCAGCAGCCGCGGUAAUACGUAGGGUGCAAGCGUUAAUCGGAAUUACUGGGCGUAAAGCGUGCGCAGGCGGUUUUGUAAGACGGAUGUGAAAUCCCCGGGCUUAACCUGGGAACUGCAUUCGUGACUGCAAGGCUAGAGUAUGGCAGAGGGGGGUAGAAUUCCACGUGUAGCAGUGAAAUGCGUAGAGAUGUGGAGGAAUACCGAUGGCGAAGGCAGCCCCCUGGGCCAAAUACUGACGCUCAUGCACGAAAGCGUGGGGAGCAAACAGGAUUAGAUACCCUGGUAGUCCACGCCCUAAAACGAUGUCAACUAGUUGUUGGGGAUUCAUUUCCUUAGUAACGUAGCUAACGCGUGAAGUUGACCGCCUGGGGAGUACGGUCGCAAGAUUAAAACUCAAAGGAAUUGACGGGGUCAUAGCUG